AUUGAACGCUGGCGGCAGGCCUAACACAUGCAAGUCGAACGGUAACAGGAAGAAGCUUGCUUCUUUGCUGACGAGUGGCGGACGGGUGAGUCAUGUCUGGGAAACUGCCUGCUGGAGGGGGAUAACUACUGGAAACGGUAGCUAAUACCGCAUAACGUCGCAAGACCAAAGAGGGGGACCUUCGGGCCUCUGGCCAUCGGAUGUGCCCAGAUGGGAUUAGCUAGUAGGGGGGGUAACGGCUCACCUAGGCGACGAUCCCUAGCUGGUCUGAGAGGAUGACCAGCCACACUGGAACUGAGACACGGUCCAGACUCCUACGGGAGGCAGCAGUGGGGAAUAUUGCACAAUGGGCGCAAGCCUGAUGCAGCCAUGCCGCGUGUAUGAAGAAGGCCUUCGGGUUGUAAAGUACUUUCAGCGGGGAGGAAGGGAGUAAAGUUAAUACCUUUGCUCAUUGACGUUACCCGCAGAAGAAGCACCGGCUAACUCCGUG
rnacentral:rRNA from 1 species